rnacentral:rRNA from 1 species
CUCAGAUUGAACGCUGGCGGCAGGCCUAACACAUGCAAGUCGAACGGUAACAGGAAGCAGCUUGCUGCUUCGCUGACGAGUGGCGGACGGGUGAGUAAUGUCUGGGAAACUGCCUGAUGGAGGGGGAUAACUACUGGAAACGGUGGCUAAUACCGCAUAACGUCGCAAGACCAAAGAGGGGGACCUUCGGGCCUCUUGCCAUCAGAUGUGCCCAGAUGGGAUUAGCUUGUUGGUGAGGUAACGGCUCACCAAGGCGACGAUCCCUAGCUGGUCUGAGAGGAUGACCAGCCACACUGGAACUGAGACACGGUCCAGACUCCUACGGGAGGCAGCAGUGGGGAAUAUUGCACAAUGGGCGCAAGCCUGAUGCAGCCAUGCCGCGUGUAUGAAGAAGGCCUUCGGGUUGUAAAGUACUUUCAGCGGGGAGGAAGGUGUUGUGGUUAAUAACCGCAGCAAUUGACGUUACCCGCAGAAGAAGCACCGGCUAACUCCGUGCCAGCAGCCGCGGUAAUACGGAGGGUGCAAGCGUUAAUCGGAAUUACUGGGCGUAAAGCGCACGCAGGCGGUCUGUCAAGUCGGAUGUGAAAUCCCCGGGCUCAACCUGGGAACUGCAUUCGAAACUGGCAGGCUUGAGUCUUGUAGAGGGGGGUAGAAUUCCAGGUGUAGCGGUGAAAUGCGUAGAGAUCUGGAGGAAUACCGGUGGCGAAGGCGGCCCCCUGGACAAAGACUGACGCUCAGGUGCGAAAGCGUGGGGAGCAAACAGGAUUAGAUACCCUGGUAGUCCACGCCGUAAACGAUGUCUACUUGGAGGUUGUGCCCUUGAGGCGUGGCUUCCGGAGCUAACGCGUUAAGUAGACCGCCUGGGGAGUACGGCCGCAAGGUUAAAACUCAAAUGAAUUGACGGGGGCCCGCACAAGCGGUGGAGCAUGUGGUUUAAUUCGAUGCAACGCGAAGAACCUUACCUGGUCUUGACAUCCACAGAACUUUCCAGAGAUGGAUUGGUGCCUUCGGGAACUGUGAGACAGGUGCUGCAUGGCUGUCGUCAGCUCGUGUUGUGAAAUGUUGGGUUAAGUCCCGCAACGAGCGCAACCCUUAUCCUUUGUUGCCAGCGAUUAGGUCGGGAACUCAAAGGAGACUGCCAGUGAUAAACUGGAGGAAGGUGGGGAUGACGUCAAGUCAUCAUGGCCCUUACGACCAGGGCUACACACGUGCUACAAUGGCGCAUACAAAGAGAAGCGACCUCGCGAGAGCAAGCGGACCUCAUAAAGUGCGUCGUAGUCCGGAUUGGAGUCUGCAACUCGACUCCAUGAAGUCGGAAUCGCUAGUAAUCGUGGAUCAGAAUGCCACGGUGAAUACGUUCCCGGGCCUUGUACACACCGCCCGUCACACCAUGGGAGUGGGUUGCAAAAGAAGUAGGUAGCUUAACCUUCGGGAGGGCGCUUACCACUUUGUGAUUCAUGACUGGGGUGAAGUCGUAACAAGGUAACCGUAGGGGAACCUGCGGUUGGAUCACCUCCUUACCUUAAAGAAGC